UCCCCGCCGCCGACUUCUCCUGAUUACCCUUGUGAGUUCCUGUGCACAGCCGGGACUUCUUCUUCCUCGAGCUAUAGCCGCCGCUUCUCCUUGCACCAGCAUCACGGCACCAGCCGAUCUCCCUCACGCGGGCACCACAGCUUGCGAUCUCACCCUCAGCCGAAGUCGCGGCCGCCGAUUCUCUCCAAGUCGUGCCCUAACCAAACCAGCAAGUAGAUUCCCUUCGACGUUGAUUGAAGACGGUUGAUACAAUCUACGUAUAAAGGUAACAGGUAGAUG